CCUAUAAAAAUAAUACUAAAAUAUAAUUACAAAUUUAACAGUCUAGCAAUGAGAGUGUCUACAAUACUUUUAUGUUGUUUUAUAAAUGUUGUAACUGGCAGAGACUUUUAUGUGGGAAUGUUUAAAAGGAAUGAUUUUUUAGUCGCCCAAGAUAGAUUGUAUAAGGAGGGAGUGCCUUUCAGGAAAGUUUAUGCGAAAUAUGGGAGAAUUUUUAAGUGUCCCAUAACAUACUUCAGAGUAGUCGACCGACUCGGCAUAGGCCGUGGACCAACAAUCGAGAUUAUCCGAGGGGGCUUACGUCAUAAAUACCUGGUCCUUCGUCUGCAAUCCAUCUACGGGUAUCCCAUAUCCGUCAAUGUCUACGUGGGUUGCGAAAACAAGAUGCAAUUAAAAACAAUUAAGAAAACUUCCGUUGAUGCUACAACAAUAAAAGCAAUAACUACUGAUGCUACUACAGACUUAGUAGAGAAACUUGGACCUGGUUCUGAUGCUUCUGAUACAAAUUCAACUGCUGUUCCUACUACUAUUGAAUAAAUUCAUUUGUUUUUUAAUCC